CGCACAUUGCGCCUUUUGGUAUUCCGAAAGGCAUGCUUGUUCGAGCGUCGCAUAUAAUCAGACAUUUCUAUUUUGAUAUCUGGAUUUGAAGUUGCAUUAUUCCCGAAUGAUGGCUUCCAAAAUUAUGGGCAGUCCGAUUCGGACUCUUAGCGCGUUGAAUUUUUUUCGCUACAGAGUUCAAAUCGUUUUUCGCCUUUAUCUUAUUAUUUAUGAAAUCGACCUCGGAUCAAGUAGGGAUACCCGCUGAACUUAA
rnacentral:misc_RNA from 1 species